GACGAACGCUGGCGGCGCGCCUAACACAUGCAAGUCGAACGAGCGAGAGAGAGCUUGCUUUCUCGAGCGAGUGGCGAACGGGUGAGUAACGCGUGAGGAACCUGCCUCAAAGAGGGGGACAACAGGUGGAAACGACUGCUAAUACCGCAUAAGCCCACGGCUCGGCAUCGAGCAGAGGGAAAAGGAGCAAUCCGCUUUGAGAUGGCCUCGCGUCCGAUUAGCUAGUUGGUGAGGUAAUGGCCCACCAAGGCGACGAUCGGUAGCCGGACUGAGAGGUUGAACGGCCACAUUGGGACUGAGACACGGCCCAGACUCCUACGGGAGGCAGCAGUGGGGAAUAUUGCACAAUGGGGGAAACCCUGAUGCAGCGACGCCGCGUGGAGGAAGAAGGUCUUCGGAUUGUAAACUCCUGUUGUUGAGGAAGAUAAUGACGGUACUCAACAAGAAAGUGACGGCUAACUACGUGCCAGCAGCCGCGGUAAAACGUAGGUCACAAGCGUUGUCCGGAAUUACUGGGUGUAAAGGGAGCGCAGGCGGGAAGACAAGUUGGAAGUGAAAUCCAUGGGCUCAACCCAUGAACUGCUUUCAAAACUGUUUUUCUUGAGUAGUGCAGAGGUAGGCGGAAUUCCCGGUGUAGCGGUGGAAUGCGUAGAUAUCGGGAGGAACACCAGUGGCGAAGGCGGCCUACUGGGCACCAACUGACGCUGAGGCUCGAAAGUGUGGGUAGCAAACAGGAUUAGAUACCCUGGUAGUCCACACUGUAAACGAUGAUUACUAGGUGUUGGAGGAUUGACCCCUUCAGUGCCGCAGUUAACACAAUAAGUAAUCCACCUGGGGAGUACGACCGCAAGGUUGAAACUCAAAGGAAUUGACGGGGGCCCGCACAAGCAGUGGAGUAUGUGGUUUAAUUCGACGCAACGCGAAGAACCUUACCAAGUCUUGACAUCCCUUGACGAUGCUGGAAACAGUAUUUCUCUUCGGAGCAAGGAGACAGGUGGUGCAUGGUUGUCGUCAGCUCGUGUCGUGAGAUGUUGGGUUAAGUCCCGCAACGAGCGCAACCCUUAUGGUCAGUUACUACGCAAGAGGACUCUGGCCAGACUGCCGUUGACAAAACGGAGGAAGGUGGGGAUGACGUCAAAUCAUCAUGCCCUUUAUGACUUGGGCUACACACGUACUACAAUGGCGUUAAACAAAGAGAAGCAAGACCGCGAGGUGGAGCAAAACUCAGAAACAACGUCCCAGUUCGGACUGCAGGCUGCAACUCGCCUGCACGAAGUCGGAAUUGCUAGUAAUCGCAGAUCAGCAUGCUGCGGUGAAUACGUUCCCGGGCCU
rnacentral:rRNA from 1 species